GCACAAGCGGUGGAUGAUGUGGUUAAUUCGAUGCAACGCGAAAACCUUACCACCUUUGACAUGUACGGAAUCCUUUAGAGAUAGAGGAGUGCUCGAAAGAGAGCCGUAACACAGGUGCUGCAUGGCUGUCGUCAGCUCGUGUCGUGAGAUGUUGGGUUAAGUCCCGCAACGAGCGCAACCCUUGUCAUUAGUUGCUACGAAAGGGCACUCUAAUGAGACUGCCGGUGACAAACCGGAGGAAGGUGGGGAUGACGUCAAGUCCUCAUGGCCCUUAUAGGUGGGGCUACACACGUCAUACAAUGGCCGGUACAAAGGGCAGCCACUUAGCGAUAAGGAGCCAAUCCCGUAAAGCCGGUCUCAGUCCGGAUUGGAGUCUGCAACUCGACUCCAUGAAGUUGGAAUCGCUAGUAAUCGCAGAUCAGCACGCUGCGGUGAAUACGUUCUCGGGCCUU
rnacentral:rRNA from 1 species